UUUGUUAACAACAGUUGAAGGUUAUUCUGUUACUUGUACUGUUGUAUACUUCAUUUAUUAAAAGGUACCUACAAGCAGUUAGGAAAAAUUACCCUGUUUAACUUAAAAAGAAAUCAUCUUUUUUUUUGCUUUUUUUUUUUUCCGAAAACAAAAACUAUCACUUGGAGAUAUAAAAAAAAAAAAGAAGAAAAGAAGAAAAUUCUGUAACGACAACAAACAUAGGGAAGCAAUGUACUGUACCUGCAGCUUUCAUCCCAUUGUACAUAUCUGAUCAUUUUGAUGGCAUAAAACUGUCUGCAAUUAACAAGUACUUUCAAACACAAUUUUUCAGUUUCAAUAGGUGAAUUUUGUUCUUGUGUAAAUAAUUUUAGGACAAAAGGAUCAGAUCUAAACUUGCACAUACAUAUAGUUACUUACUAAAAGUUUACUGUUAAUCAAUAAUUCCUUUAUCCUUAGGACACAUAAUGAAUUUAGUGAGAACAAAUCUUAUUUUGUUCAAAUAUUAUUUACAAAAUGUUAUAUUUUAAGGAAAUGAUAUUUUAUUUGUUGAUAAUUCCAUUUCU
rnacentral:lncRNA from 1 species